CCUACGGGUGGCAGCAGUGGGGAAUAUUGCACAAUGGGGGAAACCCUGAUGCAGCGACGCCGCGUGAGUGAAGAAGUAAUUCGUUAUGUAAAGCUCUAUCAGCAGGGAAGAAAAUGACGGUACCUGAGUAAGAAGCCCCGGCUAACUACGUGCCAGCAGCCGCGGUAAUACGUAGGGGGCAAGCGUUAUCCGGAUUUACUGGGUGGAAAGGGAGCGUAGACGGCAGUGCAAGUCUGGAGUGAAAGGCGGGGGCUCAACCCCCGGACUGCUCUGGAAACUGUAAGGCUGGAGUGCAGGAGAGGUGAGUGGAAUUCCUAGUGUAGCGGUGAAAUGCGUAGAUAUUAGGAGGAACACCAGUGACGAAGGCGGCUUACUGGACUGUAACUGACGUUGAGGCUCGAAAGCGUGGGGAGCAAACAGGAUUAGAUACCCUGGUAGUC
rnacentral:rRNA from 1 species